GAUGAACGCUGGCGGCGUGCUUAACACAUGCAAGUCGAACGGAAAGGCCCAAGCUUGCUUGGGUACUCGAGUGGCGAACGGGUGAGUAACACGUGGGUGAUCUGCCCCGCACUUCGGGAUAAGCCUGGGAAACUGGGGCUAAUACCGGAUAGGACCACUUCUUGGAGGGUGGGGUUGAAAGUUUUUUCGGUGUGGGAUGAGCUCGCGGCCUAUCAGCUUGUUGGUGGGGUAAUGGCCUACCAAGGCGUCGACGGGUAGCCGGCCUGAGAGGGUGUACGGCCACAUUGGGACUGAGAUACGGCCCAGACUCCUACGGGAGGCAGCAGUGGGGAAUAUUGCACAAUGGGCGCAAGCCUGAUGCAGCGACGCCGCGUGGGGGAUGACGGCCUUCGGGUUGUAAACUCCUUUCGCUAGGGACGAAGCGCAAGUGACGGUACCUAGAGAAGAAGCACCGGCUAACUACGUG
rnacentral:rRNA from 1 species